GGGGAAUAUUGAACAAUGGGCGAAAGCUGGAUCAAGCCAGGCCGCGGGGGUGAAGAAGGUCUUCGGAUGGUAAAGCACUUUAAUUGGGGGGGAGGGCCGGCAAGUUAAUACCUUGUAGUUUUGACGUAACCAACGGAAUAGGCACCGGCUAACUUGGGGCCGCAGGCCGCGGUAAUACGAAGGGUGCAAGCGUUAAUCGGAAUUACUGGGCGUAAAGCGCGCGUAGGUGGUUUGGUAAGAUGGAUGUGAAAUCCCCGGGCUCAACCUGGGAACUGCAUCCAUAACUGCCUGACUAGAGUACGGUAGAGGGUGGUGGAAUUUCCUGUGUAGCGGUGAAAUGCGUAGAUAUAGGAAGGAACACCAGUGGCGAAGGCGACCACCUGGACUGAUACUGACACUGAGGUGCGAAAGCGUGGGGAGCAAACA
rnacentral:rRNA from 1 species